CGGGGGGAGCGAGCGUUGUUCGGAUUUACUGGGCGUAAAGGGCGUGUAGGCGGCCACCGCAAGUCAGUUGUGAAAGCUCUGGGCUUAACCCAGAAAGGUCAACUGAUACUGCGGGGCUAGAGUGCAGAAGGGGCAACUGGAAUUCUCGGUGUAGCGGUGAAAUGCGUAGAUAUCGAGAGGAACACCUGCAGCGAAGGCGGGUUGCUGGGCUGACACUGACGCUGAAACGCGAAAGCUAGGGGAGCGAACGGGAUUAGAUACCCCGGUAGUCCUAGCCUUAAACGAUGAAUGCUUGGUGUCUGGGGUUUUAUAGUCCCCGGGUGCCGUCGCUAACGCUUUAAGCAUUCCGCCUGGGGAGUACGGUCGCAAGACUG
rnacentral:rRNA from 1 species